UACGUAGGGGGCAAGCGUUAUCCGGAUUUACUGGGUGUAAAGGGAGCGUAGACGGUAAUGUAAGUCUGAUGUGAAAGCCCGGGGCUCAACCCCGGGACUGCAUUGGAAACUAUGUAACUAGAGUACCGGAGAGGUAAGCGGAAUUCCUAGUGUAGCGGUGAAAUGCGUAGAUAUUAGGAGGAACACCAGUGGCGAAGGCGGCUUACUGGACGGAAACUGACGUUGAGGCUCGAAAGCGUGGGGAGCGAACAGG
rnacentral:rRNA from 1 species